AAUUGGCUUAGUUAGGAGGCAGAAAUCGAUUCGAAAAACAGAGAUAUCGGGUUCCUGAUGUUUCUGGUCGAUUUAACCAAGGCCUUUUUGAGGGGACUCUUGGCUUCUCUUUCUUCACCCGUUGUCCCCCAAGCAGCCUUGGACAUUU
rfam:Gossypium raimondii Chr07_contig_902, whole genome shotgun sequence.